rnacentral:rRNA from 1 species
CAUGCAUGUCUCAGUUCAGGCCUUCAUACGGUGAAACCGCGAAUGGCUCAUUAAAUCAGCUAUGGUUUAUUGGAUCAUACCCGUUAAAUGGAUAACUGUAAUAACUCUAGAGCUAAUACAUGCCUCGAUGCCCUGACCCUGUCCUCUUGUGGCUCCUGGUAGCUGCAAUUGUGGGCAAGGGAGGGGUGCACUUAUUAGAUCAGAAGCCAACCGGCGUUGCGUGUGUAUUCACGUGCGCUGAAGCACUUCUGGUGACUCUGGAUAAUUGUUACAGAUCGCAGUCGGCCUUGAGUCGGCGACGGGUCCUUCAAAUGUCUGCCCUAUCAACCUUCGAUGGUAGGUGACCUGCCUACCAUAGUAAUAACGGGUAACGGGGAAUCAGGGUUCGAUUCCGGAGAGGGAGCCUGAGAAACGGCUACCACUUCCAAGGGAGGCAGCAGGCGCGCAAAUUACCCACUCCCAGCACGGGGAGGUGGUGACGAAAAAUACCGAUGCGGGACUCCUCAAGAGGCUC